UAAUAAGUGUUUUAUGGCACUUUUUAAAUCCAUAUCCACCUUGUGUGCAAUGUCAGUCGAUCUUCUUUAUGGAGAUCGACCAAACAUCAACCUUUAUCUUUUAACUCUUUGUCUGAAAAAUAUUAUGAAUAAACAAUUCAAAAUA
rnacentral:misc_RNA from 1 species